GCAGUGGUGCUUCAGUGGGAGAAUUCUCGCCUUCCAUGUGGGAGACCUGGGUUCGACUGCCGGCCAAUGUA
rnacentral:tRNA from 1 species